rnacentral:rRNA from 1 species
CUUGACAUCCAGAGAAUUUAGCAGAGAUGCUUUAGUGCCUUCGGGAACUCUGAGACAAGUGCUGCAUGGCUGUCGUCAGCUCGUGUUGUGAAAGUUGUUGGGUUAACGUCCGCAACGAGCGCAACCCUUAUCCUUUGUUGCCAGCACGUAAUGGUGGGAACUCAAAGGAGACUGCCGGUGAUAAACCGGAGGAAGGUGGGGAUGACGUCAAGUCAUCAUGGCCCUUACGAGUAGGGCUACACACGUGCUACAAUGGCGUAUACAAAGAGAAGCGACCUCGCGAGAGCAAGCGGACCUCAUAAAGUGCGUCGUAGUCCGGAUUGGAGUCUGCAACUCGACUCCAUGAAGUCGGAAUCGCUAGUAAUCGUAAAUCAGAAUGUUACGGUGAAUACGUUCCCGGGCCUUGUACACACCGCCCGUCACACCAUGGGAGUGGGUUGCAAAAGAAGUAGAUAGCUUAACCUUCGGGAGGGCGUUUACCACUUUGUGAUUCAUGACUGGGGUGAAGUCGUAACAAGGUAAGCGUAGUGCU